CAGCCGCCGCGGGAAUACAGAGGGUGCGAGCGUUAAUCGGAUUUACUGGGCGUAAAGCGUGCGUAGGCGGCUUUUUAAGUCGGAUGUGAAAUCCCCGAGCUUAACUUGGGAAUUGCAUUCGAUACUGGUUAGCUAGAGUGUGGGAGAGGAUGGUAGAAUUCCAGGUGUAGCGGUGAAAUGCGUAGAGAUCUGGAGGAAUACCGAUGGCGAAGGCAGCCAUCUGGCCUAACACUGACGCUGAGGUACGAAAGCAUGGGGAGCAAACAGGAUUAGAUACCCCCGUAGUCCCUGUCUCUUAUAC
rnacentral:rRNA from 1 species